rnacentral:rRNA from 1 species
GUACACGCUGUGACUAGCAUAUCAAUAAGCGGAGGAAAAGAAACUAACAAGGAUUCCCUUAGUAACGGCGAGUGAAGCGGGAAGAGCUCAAAUUUGAAAUCUUGAAAGGUCACCCUUCACGAAUUGUAGUUUAAAGAAGUGUUUUCUGUUACGAUCGUAAUAUAAGUUCUUUGGAAUAGGACAUCAUAGAGGGUGAGAAUCCCGUAUUUGACCAUUAUUUUCAGCUUUGUGAUACACUUUCAAAGAGUCGGAUUGUUUGGGAAUGCAGUCCAAAAUGGGUGGUAAAUUUCAUCUAAAGCUAAAUAUUGGCGAGAGACCGAUAGCGAACAAGUACCGUGAGGGAAAGAUGAAAAGAACUUUGAAAAGAGAGUUAAACAGUACGUGAAAUUGUCAAAAGGGAAGCGUUUGACACCAGUGUUGUUUUCUGAAAAUCAACCUCUGUUAGCUUUAUGCAUGUUUGUUUAGACCUAAUCAGCUAUCUUGCAUGUUCUAUUGUUUGCAGUGGUGCACUUUUCAGUUUACAGGUCAACAUCAGUUUUUUUUACCGUAAAAAAGUUAAAGAAAGGUAGCUCAUGGCUCCGGUCGUGAGUGUUAUAGUCUUUUUCCUAUGCGGUAGGAGAGACUGAGGUCUGCAGUGUAGGCUAUUUGGCUAGAUACUCAGGUGCUAUGUGAUACCAUUUCAUAAACAACUUGUUGAUUAUGUUUUGUCUAUUGCAUACUCGCUUGUACUAUCAUACCUACGCUUAGGAUAUUGACGCAUGAGAUAUACGC